GACAGAGGUGCCAAGCGUUUAGGCGGAAUCACUGGGCUUAAAGGGCGCGUAGGCGGGCUGCCGCGUCCGGGGGUGAAAUCCCACGGCUCAACCGUGGAACGGCCCCGGGGUACGGGCGGCCUCGAGGGGGGUAGGGGGCGUGCGGAACUGUGGGGUGGAGCGGUGAAAUGCGUUGAGAUCCACAGGAACUCCGGUGGCGAAGGCGGCACGCUGGACCCCCUUCUGACGCUGAGGCGCGAAAGCCAGGGGAGCGAACGGG
rnacentral:rRNA from 1 species